rnacentral:sRNA from 1 species
GCCCAGUUUCGCGAAGGCUCUCGGCGCGCCGCGGCCCGCAGGCACCCGGCACGCGCCUUCCCCGCCGCCACGAUGCCCAAGAGGAAGGUCAGCUCCGCCGAAGGCGCCGCCAAGGAAGAGCCCAAGAGGAGAUCGGCGCGGUUGUCAGCUAAACCUCCUGCAAAAGUGGAAGCGAAGCCGAAAAAGGCAGCAGCGAAGAGUCAAGUUAGCACUGAGGCCAGGAGAAAGGGACCGUGUAAGUUUUUAUAUAUACAGUUUCCAAGCCAACUUCGGGAAGCCUUAACCUUUUUACGGGGUGGGGGUGGGGAGGUAAAAAGUUGUGAUCUCUGAGAAAAUAGCCGCCACUACUCUGGAAGUGUUCAGCAGCAGUUAUACAAAACCGUGAUUUUGGCUGCUCCCUAACAAAUUCGUGAUUGCAUGAUUCGAAUUGCAGGUCUGUAGAAUGAAGUUGGCUUUGGGUAUACGUGUGUUUGAUAACUUUCAGGGUGGAAAAGCAGAACAUGUGUAAAACAUGUAUAAGCUUUGUGUUUGGAUAUGGCAUUGAAACCACCACCUGUAAAGCUCUACAUGUUCUUCGCGGGGUGAUUAAUUUUUAUCCAAAACUUAGGUGAGAGUUUGCUAUUUGAAGUCUCAAAAAAAAUUUUUGUUAAUGCCUUCACCUCUUUCCUAAAAGUGUAGGUGGAAGUUUAGCACUGCAGUCAUCAGAAGAGGCAAGAUUAAUUUCCUUGACAUUGAGGAGUUGUUGGCUAAUUACUAAAUUUGUCCUUGUUAAAUAAAGGUAUAAAACAAAGACGUUUUUUCUUUUUUAACUUAAAUUUUUU